AUUGAACGCUGGCGGCAGGCCUAACACAUGCAAGUCGAGCGAGCGGCGGACGGGUGAGUAAUGGAGGGGGACUGCCCGAUAGAGGGGGAUAACUACUGGAAACGGUGGCUAAUACCGCAUACUAUCGGAUAACCCAUAUGGGAUUAGCUAGUAGGUAUGUAAAUGGCUUACCUAGGCGAUGAUCCCUAGCUGGUCUGAGAGGAGGAUCAGCCAAACUGGGACUGAGACAGGGCCCAGACUCCUACGGAGGAGGCGGUGGGGAAUAUUGCACAAUGGGCGCAAGCCGGAUGCAGCCAUGCCGCUUGUAUGAAGAAGGCCCUAGGGUUGUAAAGUACUUUCAGUAGGGAGGCGUUACCGACAGAAGAAGCACCGGCUAACUCCGUGCCAGCAGCCGCGGUAAUUC
rnacentral:rRNA from 1 species